rnacentral:rRNA from 1 species
GGACGAACGCUGGCGGCGUGCUUAACACAUGCAAGUCGAGCGGUAAGGCCCUUUCGGGGGUACACGAGCGGCGAACGGGUGAGUAACACGUGGGUGACCUGCCCUCAGCUCUGGGAUAAGCCUGGGAAACCGGGUCUAAUACUGGAUAUGACUCCAGUGACGCAUGUUGUGGGGUGGAAAGCCUUGUGCGGCUGAGGAUGGGCCCNCGGCCUAUCAGCUUGUUGGUGGGGUGAGGCCUACCAAGGCGACGACGGGUAGCCGGCCUGAGAGGGCGACCGGCCACACUGGGACUGAGACACGGCCCAGACUCCUACGGGAGGCAGCAGUGGGAAUCUUGCGCAAUGGGCGAAAGCCUGACGCAGCGACGCCGCGUAGAGGGAUGACGG